CUUUAUCUGAGUUUCCUGGCUUUGUUGUGUUGUGAACAUUUUGUAUAAGACUGAUGGAUCGUGUUCUUCCUUGCAUGUUUGAUGAUACGGAUGACACCAAUGUUGCUAUGUGGCCUUAUAGAUACGUGGUAGCUAGUUUUUGACAACCUAUUCUAACUAGCACUCAUGAAGACACACUACAAAAGGAAGACAAUAAUUAGGUUAGAAGACCAUAUCGAGGGAUGGACGCCGACUCACUUUUUUUGCCUAUGGAUGUUUGAUAGAGCUCCAGAUGAAAUUAAGUUUAAUUUGAAGAACCUGAUCUUUAUUGAAGUUGGUAGAGCUAGGUCUCGUCAACUUUAUGAAGCUCGACUAGGCACACAACAAUCCAUCCUACACUUCCAUCACAACCUGCAACCUAUUAUGAAAUAGUUUAAAAACUAUUAAAUUUUUAUGAUAAAAUCAUAUAAAGGUGAUAUAUAGUAUUACUGAAAGUGGAAAUUUAUUUUAAAGGGUAUAUGUACUUCCACUUCUUUCCAUUAGAGCAAUGUACUUUUGAAUUUCUUUUUCUUAUAAAUGAAUUGUGCUUUGACAAA